CAGCCGCCGCGGUAAUACGUAGGGGGCGAGCGUUACCCGGAUUCACUGGGCGUAAAGGGGGUGUAGGCGGCUCGGUAAGUCGGGUGUGAAAUCCCACGGCUCAACCGUGGAAUUGCGCCCGAAACUGCCGAGCUUGGGGCCGGUAGAGGGAGACGGAACUGCCGGUGUAGGGGUGAAAUCCGUAGAUAUCGGCAGGAACGCCGGUGGGGAAGCCGGUCUCCUGGGCCGCGCCCGACGCUGAGGCCCGAAAGCUAGGGGAGCAAACCGGAUUAGAUACCCGGGUAGUCCUAGCCGUAAACGAUGCCCACUAGGUGUGGGGGAGUAGUUCCUCCGUGCUGGAGCUAACGCGUUAAGUGGGCCGCCUGGGGAGUACGCCCGCAAGGGUGAAACUUAAAGGAAUUGGCGGG
rnacentral:rRNA from 1 species